CAACGCAAAGGGCUGCUGAAACAAGUUUUCUCCUAUUGCAGGCUGAGCGAAGGCUGCAGCGGAGCCUCUCGUCAGUCCGAACCGGAGCGUGAUCUCGUUCCCAUCGUGGAGAUGCAGCGGAAUGGCUUGCGUGACUCGAAUGCUGUUGUGGAUGUUCUGUUCUCUUCAGGAGAGACAGACAGGUGAGAGGUGGCAGAGUUGCACUUCCACUGAGAGAACUGGAAUGCAUUGAGCUGUGCCUAGGGAUGCAUGAAGAACCAGGGGAGUGCUGGCGUGCGAGGCUCAGGAGACAGUAAAUGUGGGUAAUGUCACUGGGGGUGUUGGUUACAGAUGAGGAAGCUGAUAAGACUUCCUGCACACAGCUAAAAGUAACCUCAAGGUUGCAGGCAUUAGUUUUCACAGUAUACUCGAAGCACCCUGCCAGUUGUUGAUAAGGCAAUGCUGUCAGGUGUAUCUCAUUCCAGGAGGCUCCUGCAGGUAUCAAAGUUUCUGACACAGGUGAAGGAGGAGCCAAUGAGGAGAGAAAUGCUGGCGGAGCUCUUACUCUGUAUUGAGGAAGGACUGACUGGGGAUGCAAAGACCGAGGGGACCUGAAGCGCAACAGCUGUGAGAUGGUGGAGUUUGGAAUCUCAGUCAGAAGAUGCAAAGCAAUAAGUAGGUUUGAAACACCAGACUUUGAGGGAGCAACUUUGUCCUCUUAAAGGAUCUGCCUGGAGGUAUCUGUUGGGUUGCAGCAUCAGAAGGGGUCCUGCUAGUGGUUCUUGAUUCAUGCAUUACUGCUUCUGUGCUCAGUAGGGUGCAUGCCUGAGAGUAAGAAAUGGAGCAGGAAAGGCAGGAGACCUGCAGGAGCAAAUGAGGAGGUCACAGAUAAACUUGAAGAAGAAAAGGAAGGCUAAGGCCCCCUUAGUAUCACCUUUGUGGAGGAAGGUGAAGGCUAACAGGCAAGGUGCCUGAGGACUCGUGGGUAGCCAGCAUCACUGCAGCCUUCAGAAAGGGUGAGAAGGAGGGCCUGCGCAACUGUAGGCUGUUCAGGAUCACCUCCCUCCCUGGCACUGAAAUGGGACAGCUUGUUCUGGAUGUCAUCUCUAAGGAGCGGUCAUGGUGGAUUCAGCAAGAGGAAGUGAUGAUGGACUGACCUGGUAGCUUUCUGUGUUGUGACUGUCUGGUUGGAUGAGAGAAGGGCAGUGGAUGUUGUGGGGUGGAAUAUCACUCCUGUCAGUAAAUAUCUAAGUGUGGAGUUGAUGGGAGUGGGCUUGUGCAGGCACAGAUGGA
rnacentral:lncRNA from 1 species